rnacentral:rRNA from 1 species
GAUGAACGCUAGCUACAGGCUUAACACAUGCAAGUCGCGGGGCAGCAUGGGGGUUGCUUGCAAUCCCCGAUGGCGACCGGCGCACGGGUGAGUAACGCGUAUCCAACCUGCCCUUCACCACGGGAUAACCCGGCGAAAGUCGGACUAAUACCGUAUGUUGUCCAUUGACGGCAUCCGAUUUGGACGAAAGGCUUGGCGGUGAGGGAUGGGGAUGCGUCCGAUUAGCCAGACGGCGGGGUGACGGCCCACCGUGGCUACGAUCGGUAGGGGUUCUGAGAGGAAGGUCCCCCACACUGGAACUGAGACACGGUCCAGACUCCUACGGGAGGCAGCAGUGAGGAAUAUUGGUCAAUGGGCGUAAGCCUGAACCAGCCAAGUAGCGUGCAGGAUGACGGCCCUAUGGGUUGUAAACUGCUUUUAUGCGGGGAUAAAGUGGCCCACGUGUGGGCUUUUGCAGGUACCGCAUGAAUAAGGACCGGCUAAUUCCGUG